CCUACGGGAGGCAGCAGUGGGGGAUAUUGCACAAUGGGGGAAACUCUGAUCCAGCGACGCCGCGUGAGCGAAGAAGUAUUUCGGUAUGUAAAGCCCUAUCAGUAGGGAAGUAGAAAUGACGGUACCUGCGUAAGAAGCACCGGCUAAAUACGUACCAGCAGCCGCGGUAAUACGUAGGGUGCAAGCGUUAUCCGGAUUUACUGGGUGUAAAGGGAGCGCAGGCGGUACGGCAAGCCUGAUGUGAAAGCCCGCGGCUCAACCGCGGGACUGCAUUGGGAACUACCGGGCUGGAGUGUCGGUGAGGUAGGCGGAAUUCCUAGUGUAGCGGUGAAAUGCGUAGAUAUUAGGAGGAACACCAGUUGCGAAGGCAGCCUACUAGACGGUGACUGACGCUGAGGCUCGAAAGCGUGGGGAGCAAACAGGAUUAGAUACCCCUGUAGUC
rnacentral:rRNA from 1 species